UACGUAGGGGGGCAAGCGUUGUCCGGAUUUAUUGGGCGUAAAGAGCGUGUAGGCGGUUCGGUAGGUCCGUUGUGAAAACUCGAGGCUCAACCUCGAGACGCCGAUGGAAACCAUCAGACUAGAGUCCGGAAGAGGAGAGUGGAAUUCCUGGUGUAGCGGUGAAAUGCGCAGAUAUCAGGAAGAACACCCGUGGCUAAGGCGGCUCUCUAGUACGGUACUGACGCUGAGACGCGAAAGCGUGGGGAGCGAACAGG
rnacentral:rRNA from 1 species